rnacentral:rRNA from 1 species
GACGAACGCUGGCGGCGUGCUUAACACAUGCAAGUCGAGCGGUAAGGCCCUUUCGGGGGUACACGAGCGGCGAACGGGUGAGUAACACGUGGGUGACCUGCCCUCAGCUCUGGGAUAAGCCUGGGAAACCGGGUCUAAUACUGGAUAUGACUCCAUGACGCAUGUUGUGGGGUGAAAGCCUUGUGCGGCUGAGGAUGGGCCCGCGGCCUAUCAGCUUGUUGGUGGGGUGAUGGCCUACCAAGGCGACGACGGAUAGCCGGCCUGAGAGGGCGACCGGCCACACUGGGACUGAGACACGGCCCAGACUCCUACGGGAGGCAGCAGUGGGAAUCUUGCGCAAUGGGCGAAAGCCUGACGCAGCGACGCCGCGUGAGGGAUGACGGCCUGG